rnacentral:rRNA from 1 species
CUCUGGUGUUCGGGUUGUCAUGCCAAUGGCAUUGCCCGGUAGCUACGUUCGGACGGGAUAACCGCUGAAAGCAUCUAAGCGGGAAGCCCCCUUCAAGAUGAGACUUCCCUGAGGCCUYGCGCCUCCUGAAGGGCCCUUGAAGACUACAAGGUUGAUAGGCUGGGUGUGGAAGCACAGCAAUGUGUUGAGCUAACCAGUACUAAUUGCCCGUGAGGCUUGACCAUAUAACACCCAAGGGGUUU